rnacentral:rRNA from 1 species
GACGUAGGGCGCGAGCGUUGUCCGGAUUUAUUGGGCGUAAAGAGCUCGUAGGCGGCUUGUCGCGUCGACUGUGAAAUCCCUCGGCUCAACUGAGGAAUGGCACGGGAAACUGCGGGGCUUGAGUUCGGGAGAGGGAAGCGGAAUUCCGGGUGUAGCGGUGAAAUGCGUAGAUAUCCGGAGGAACACCGGUGGCGAAGGCGGCUUCCUGGACCGAUACUGACGCUGAGGCGCGAAAGCUAGGGGAGCAAACGGG